CAAUCUUUUCGAAUUGAUCACUUCCCACUGGGCACAUACAUCAAUUCAAUGUUUAUUCCACAUUGGUUUAACGUAAUUUAAUUGGAAUUACAUGGAUAUUCUGUCACAGUGAAUUUUGUAAUCUGCAGUCAAUUUAAUUAUGUUUUCAUGUGCCAUGAUUCUGACAUUUCCCAUAUGGUCCUCAUAGGAUUAGGCUACAUAAUUACAGUGGUGCAGUAAAUGUAAUCUCAAUUCAAUACGAUGUGCAUAUACUGUACAUAUAGCCAUUAUAGCUAUUAAACCCAUGUUCAGUGACUGUAAUCUGUGACGCAAGUGGCCUAAUAUGUUUGUGACGUUCCAUGGAACCCACAGUGUUGUUUAAAACUAGAUUCUGAUUGGCUUGCAGGUCAUUGUACAGUGUACAUUAUAAAUGAAAACGUGCUUUUAUAUCAGUGUUACAGAUUCACAUUACCGAGCAUGUCUCAACCCGUACCGCGCUUUUAUCUGCCUAAAGGUAUCUUCACGCACGACUGGACAGGCCUUUUGGAUACGCUUGUCCAAGUGAGCAAGACCUGCCAGCAGAGCUCACUGGAGCAGGGAGACAUGCCGUCAUCCUUUUGGCGCCUGACAAAAUGUCCGACUUA
rnacentral:lncRNA from 1 species